CCAGGGAAAGGAAUGAGGAGAGUCUGAGGCAAGUGAGAAUUCAGAUGAAAUCAACUGUCUAAAUAGGGCAGGUGAAAACCUCCUCUUGCCACUAUGAGCUGAAUCCUGCUUUUAAGCCAAGAUAGCUUUAUGAGUUGCCUUGCCUGAUGGUGAGCUCAUAGGUUAAGUGGCUGGUAAAUCUUGAAUUUUGGGGUUCAGCCAGAAAGUCUUUGACAAAUGUUAUCAGGUAUGAGCUAAUAGGGACCAUAUGAAAAAACAAGGACAAGUCGGAAUGUAAGAAUACAACUCAUGAACAAGGUUGAAAGAUUUUGGUUUGUUCUUUCAAACAGCUCCACUUCAUUUGCAUACACAGUUGUAAUCUAUUAACUAUGACCAUUAGAUUUAUUCAAAUGUCACCAAGUAAAACCAAAAUACAAAGACUUACUUAAACAAAUGUGAACCACCUCUGCCUCUCUACCUCCAAAACCAACAUCAAAACAAGCAACAGGUGUCCUGCAGAAGUGGAAGCUUCUCCUAUCCAAAAACAUCUCAGAGGCACCAUGUAUAACAUGGGUUUAUUUGAGCUUUCUGCCUGGGACUGUGACCUGACCCCACAUCACUGAAGAACAGAUCUCAUCCCAUCGAGCCUGUGAGCAUAAAAGGAUAAGAUCCCUUGGGUUUUAAGUAGUGCAUUUAAAGAGAAGACAGAAGGUUGAAACUACCAGGCUAGAGUCUGCGGUCUGCACAAACACGCUGUCUCUGCUUUGCUCCCCUCCUGUACUAUGACUUCUAUUUUGAAGGUAAAAUCAGUAAACAAAUUUUGCACAAAGCUGCUCAGAUUUUGUAUUAAAGGCAA